rnacentral:rRNA from 1 species
GACAGAGGGGGCAAGCGUUGCCCGGAAUCACUGGGCUUAAAGCGCGUGUAGGCGGGGUGGCACGUCCGUCGCUGAAAUCCCCCGGCUCAACCGGGGAACGGGCGCGGAUACGACCAUCCUCGAGGGACGUAGGGGGACCUGGAACUUCCGGUGGAGCGGUGAAAUGCGUUGAGAUCGGAAGGAACGCCCGUGGCGAAAGCGAGGUCCUGGACGUCUGCUGACGCUGAGACGCGAAAGCCAGGGGAGCGAACGGG